GGGCAGCGUUGGUAGUAAUACCGGCGCCUAGACCGGCAAACGGGUGAGGAACACGUACACAACCACCCUUUUAGUGGAGCAUAACCCGGGGAAACCUGGACUAAUACUCCGUAACAUGUUGGAAAGGCAUCUUUCUGAUAUUAUAGCAGCAAUGCGCUAAAAGACGGGUGUGCGCAUGAUUAGGUAGUUGGCGGGGUAACGGCCCACCAAGCCUACGAUCAUUAACUGGUGUGAGAGCACGACCAGUCACACGGGCACUGAGACACGGGCCCGACUCCUACGGGAGGCAGCAGUAAGGAAUAUUGGUCAAUGGAGGAAACUCUGAACCAGCCAUGCCGCGUGGAGGAUGAAGGUCCUCUGGAUUGUAAACUUCUUUUAUACGGGACGAAAAAACGAUUUUCUAAUCGGACUGACGGUACCAUAUGAAUAAGCACCGGCUAACUCCGUGCCAGCAGCCGCGGUAAUACGGAGGGUGCAAGCGUUAUCCGGAUUCACUGGGUUUAAAGGGUGCGUAGGUGGACUGGUAAGUCAGUGGUGAAAUCUUCCCGCUUAACGGGAAAACUGCCAUUGAUACUAUUGGUCUUGAAUAUUGCGGAGGUCAGCGGAAUAUGUCAUGUAGCGGUGAAACGCUUAGAUAUGACAUAGAACACCAAUUGCGAAGGCAGCUGACUACACAUAUAUUGACACUGAUGCAC
rnacentral:rRNA from 1 species